CCCCCGCUCCGCACCAGCAAGUGACUGGCACGCUCUGGCUUCGCUGCUGCUGCGGCGGCUGCGGCGGCGCUUCUUUCUCCUCGUUGUGAGUCAGUCAGUCAGUGUCGUGACAGUCAGACUGCCUGGCGGCUGGCACAUCGGUGUCCCGCAGUCUCUCUGUGUCUAGUGUUACAGUGGGCCUGCAGGUUAUAUAGCCGGUCAGCUGCAUGAGGAUGUGUGUGACCCUAUUAUUUUCACUUGAAGCAGACAGACCGAGGAGGCAAUACCUGAUGAAUCUUCUCUUGUUACCCCCUUCAGAACACCUACUGUAUAUAUUUAACCUCAUAGAGGAAGGAGAAACAUUGUCUACAUGGGGAGCAGAAAAGGUAAUUUUGGAGGAUCACUGUGAAUUGAUCACCUCAUCAUGAAGACAACAAAAAGGCUCACUAGUGUGGUCCAGAUACUAGAGCGGUGCCCAGCAAUCCUACAGGCUCCUGAGGUUGGAGGUACUUGCGAUUCAAGCUGCUACACAUUAACCAAAUGGACUGACUGUGAUUCCAGCUGGAUGAAUGCAGUUUAAAUACAGAUACUGUGUAACGCUCAGUCACCCUCUGAUGAAACCUUCAGCUCACAUUGAAGGAGAACCCGGAACGGGAACAGUCCACCAGGUUCUGAGCACUGUAAGACUCCAGUUUGCCUUUCCGGAGUUUCGCCUGGCACUCCAGCGCCCCCACGCUG